rnacentral:rRNA from 1 species
UACGGGGGGGGCAAGCGUUGUUCGGAAUUACUGGGCGUAAAGGGCGCGUAGGCGGCCUGCUAAGUCGGACGUGAAAUCCCCCGGCUCAACCGGGGAACUGCGUCCGAUACUGGUGGGCUCGAAUCCGGGAGAGGGAUGUGGAAUUCCAGGUGUAGCGGUGAAAUGCGUAGAUAUCUGGAGGAACACCGGUGGCGAAGGCGGCAUCCUGGACCGGCAUUGACGCUGAGGUGCGAAAGCCAGGGGAGCAAACGGG